rnacentral:lncRNA from 1 species
AUAACCGCUCGAUCCCAUCUCCAUCAUUAGCUAUAUCCACUUUGACCUGAGAUCUGCUCAGGGUAGUCUCCUGCGGUAAUAGAAACUUCAUCUUGCGAUGUCGUCUCUCAUCUUUUUGAAUCUUUCAUCUCGUAUCGGAUCCAUCUGCUCUUGGAGCUCCACCUCGCACUGGGCUCCUUACCAAGAGGUAAUAUUCUCCAUACUGCUUCCCCUUCAUCACGAUCCUAUUAUCGCAUAUGAUCUUUAGGAUUCCUCUAUUAGCUCUUCACCUGUAGCC